AAACAAGUAAAUAAUCUUACCGAGCAAAACCAAGGUCGUUAGAUUAUAUGGAUUUGGAACUUGCUGUCUGAAGUAGCUGGAGUUGUCAUCGGUCGUGCUGAUUUGAUACGAAUGAUGGGUUUAUUGAUUACAUACAUUUAAUUUGAAACGGUUAAACUAUGUUUUCUUUUAUUCGCUUCCGCUGAACAUGUUGGUUUUCAUUUAAACCUAUUGACGGUACUUUUCAGUAAUAAUUGAUGUUUUUAUUUAACAACUUGUGAUUGGUUCAA